UGGUUCACUCUCCAAACGCUACAACAGCUGUAUCUAGGCCAGGUCAAAGCCAGGAGCCAGGAACUCUCCGACCACGUUGCCCACCAGAAUGCCAGCGCCCAAGUACUUGCAUUGAAUGGAGGCAGAGUAGCCGGGUCUGGAACCUGCAGUAUGAUGUGAGAUGCAAGCAUCCUAAGUGGCAACUUCACUUGCUGUGCCACCCACCAGCCCCCAUCCACUCUGUCUCCUGCUUCUGUCUCUCUCUCAGGCUCCAGGACACAAAACAGCUGAGCAGAUAAACAAGUCACCACCUGCUCCCUCCUCCCUCGUGACACCGCCCCUGUCCCCAAGUCCCACCCCUUCUUCCUCCCACUCUCUCCCUCCAGUUCUCGAUGAAGCCAGACUCGCUCUCCCUGCACAGCACAGGCAGGCAGCAGUGACAGGCUACGAGGGACAGGGACAGGACACCUGCUGUCCGCUCUCCCUCCGGUGCGAGCCUCCCCAGCUCAGCCCCCUUUGGCCCCUGCUCCUGCCAAAUGGCACACAAGGAGCUCUGCCUCCGCCCAGGGCCGUUUCCAACAAAACACUUGUGCUUUCUGCAAGUGAGACUCAGGAAUCCCGAGGGAGGUUUACGGCAUCCGCCAGCCCUGGAGCCAGCGUCUGGCUGCUACUUGGCAAAGAGCCCCUUUGCCAGACACAGGAGAGCUGGGAGGAAGGGGUUAACCUGAGCAGAAGCAGCCAGGAGAGGCCCAGCUCCAUUCCUGACUGCUGGGGAGGCAGAGCCCUGGGCUAGAAGGCUACAGGGAGGCCAAGGCCCCCGGGUGUAAGGCCUGCAGGAGGCUGCCCUGGUGGUGGUGUGGUGUUUGGGGGCGAGCACAGGGUGUGCUUUCAGGAACAAAACCCAGGUUCCACCCACAGAUCCCAGGCUCCCGUCUGGAUCCCCCAGCCUGUGCCUCAGUACGUCUCCCUGUGCCUAUGGCAGGCGGUACUGAGUUCUCUCCCCACCCCCUGUGCGUGGGGGAGUCGGGAGGCGGACCCGGAAGUGCACCUGCUCCUGGGAGGAUGUGCAGGAUCCCCCAGAGGUCUUCCUGGCGAUGUAGAGUUGAAACCUGGGUUGCUGCUGCUGUGGCUGAGCUCUGUGAAGCUGGGGUCAGAUGCUGCACCCAGGAGGCAGGGCCCCAGCCUGUCCUGGCCCCCAAGCUUCCAUGCUCCCUGAGAAGUCCCUGCUUGUAGUUUCAUGGCCAUGGCCACUGUGUGUUGGGUGUUUGAGGAAAACAGACCUGCCCUCGUUUGCUCACUGUUUCCCACAGGUCUGCAUGGGAGUGGCCGCACCACUCAGAGCUGCAACUGAAAACAUUUUCAUGGCUGUGUGACUCUGGGCGAGUGGCUCAGCCUCUCUGAGCCUCAGUUCCUUCACUGGUAAAAUUGAGAUAUCUGCCUCGUAGGUUAAACUCCUUUAUUUUUGAUAUGAAGGUAAGUGACAAGGUGAAGUUAAUGUAAGGUACAUAAAAUAUCAAUGCCAGGUGUCCUGCUGGGGGUGCAGGGUCUCUCUCCCUUUCCUUCCCCCGUGUUUGUGUUGUGUUUUUGGUAUUCCAUGGGAGACAGGAUGGAAAGGCCGCAAGGCUGGGGCCGUGGCAGUGACCUCAAACCCAGUUGCUCUGAGGAGGAGGCACCAGGAGGAAGUUAGUGGACAGGAGUCCCUCUUUCCUCCUGCCGCAGAGCAGGCCUCUCCUGCUAGGCACUGCUCACAUGCAGGGCCAGAGGCCCUGUUCUGCACACUGCUGGAUGCUCACAGCAGCCUUGGCCGCUACCCUCUAACUGCCAGGAGCCCCCUCCCCCAGGGUCAUGCCAAUCACCACGUCUGCAGACAGGGACGGAGGUCCCUUGGGAACAGAAUGGGCCCUGGUUGAGAGCCACUGCUCUGUGUGCAGCUCUUGGAGGUUAGCAUGAUGGACACUCACCGAGGUCCUUCUUUUGAACAAGAGUGACCCCAACGUGCCCGAGAAGGGAGACGUGGUUACGGAGAAGCAGAUGAGCGGCUGCUCCAAGACAUACAGGGGCUGGGGGUAGAGAGAAGGGGCCUGCUAUUGAACAGGGGGUCAGGGGCCAGUGUCCCCCAGGGACUGCCACUAUUGGCCCUGCCUCGGGGGGAGUUUCUUGUUCCUGGACUUUUGCCUCUCCUGGUGUGAGGUGACCGAAUCAGACCGGAAGCCCAAGGGGUGGGCGGUUAGCCAAGCAGUUAGGACCUGGCCCUGAAGCCCCAGCCCCGGUCCAGGCCCCACGCUGGGAUGCCCGGCCUCCAGUCCUGGCUCUGCUCCUGCUCAGUUUUCAGCUGAUGAGCACCUGGGAGGCAUCAGCAAGGGCUCAGCUCACCUGCCCCCCGGGUGGGAGGCCUGGAUUCCGUUCCCAGUCGCCAGCUCUGGCCUGGCGCAGGCCAGCCUGUUGCGGGCAUUUGGGUUGUGAACCAGGGCGUGGGAGCGCUCUCCAUCUUUUUCCAUCUCUCUGCCUCUAAAAUCAGAAACAAACAAAUAAAGCAACCCUCUUCUUUUCCUACUUGGCGGGA
rnacentral:lncRNA from 1 species